AUUGAACGCUGGCGGCAGGCCUAACACAUGCAAGUCGAGCGGAUGAAGGGAGCUUGCUCCUGGAUUCAGCGGCGGACGGGUGAGUAAUGCCUAGGAAUCUGCCUGGCAGUGGGGGAUAACGUCCGGAAACGGGCGCUAAUACCGCAUACGUCCUGAGGGAGAAAGUGGGGGAUCUUCGGACCUCACGCUAUCAGAUGAGCCUAGGUCGGAUUAGCUAGUUGGUGGGGUAAAGGCCUACCAAGGCGACGAUCCGUAACUGGUCUGAGAGGAUGAUCAGUCACACUGGAACUGAGACACGGUCCAGACUCCUGCGGGAGGCAGCAGUGGGGAAUAUUGGACAAUGGGCGAAAGCCUGAUCCAGCCAUGCCGCGUGUGUGAAGAAGGUCUUCGGAUUGUAAAGCACUUUAAGUUGGGAGGAAGGGCAGUAAGUUAAUACCUUGCUGUUUUGACGUUACCAACAGAAUAAGCACCGGCUAACUUCGUG
rnacentral:rRNA from 1 species